rnacentral:rRNA from 1 species
GACGAACGCUGGCGGCGUGCUUAACACAUGCAAGUCGAACGGAAAGGCCCUGCUUUUGUGGGGUGCUCGAGUGGCGAACGGGUGAGUAACACGUGAGUAACCUGCCCUUGACUUUGGGAUAACUUCAGGAAACUGGGGCUAAUACCGGAUAGGAGCUCCUGCUGCAUGGUGGGGGUUGGAAAGUUUCGGCGGUUGGGGAUGGACUCGCGGCUUAUCAGCUUGUUGGUGGGGUAGUGGCUUACCAAGGCUUUGACGGGUAGCCGGCCUGGGAGGGUGACCGGCCACAUUGGGACUGAGGUACGGCCCAGACUCCUACGGGAGGCAACAGUGGGGAAUAUUGCACAAUGGGCGGAAGCCUGAUGCAGCAACGCCGCGUGCGGGAUGACGGCCUUCGGGUUGUAAACCGCUUUCGCCUGUGACGAAGCGUGAGUGACGGUAAUGGGUAAAGAAGCACCGGCUAACUACGUG